rnacentral:rRNA from 1 species
AUUCCAGCUCCAAUAGCGUAUAUUAAAGUUGUUGCAGUUAAAAAGCUCGUAGUUGGAUUUCUGGUUUGAUGCCCUGGCCCACUGCUAUUUUGGUAGUGUGUGCCGGUUGUGCGUCUGCCAUCCUUCUAGGGAACGUUCCUUCUCUUCACUGAGCCGGGUUUGUGAUCUAGAUCGUUUACUUUGAAAAAAUUAGAGUGUUUAAAGCAGGCUUUUGCUAUGAAUACAUUAGCAUGGAGUAAUAAUCUAGGACUUCGGUCAUAUUUUGUUGGUUUCUGUAACUGAAGUAAUGAUUGAUAGGGAUAGUUGGGGGUGCUAGUAUUGAGCGGCCAGAGGUGAAAUUCUUGGAUUCGCUCAAGACUAACUUAUGCGAAAGCAUUCACCAAGGAUGUCUUCAUUG